rnacentral:SRP_RNA from 16 species
GGGCAGUAAUUCUGCAUAACUUGGCAGAGCCUUUGAGUGAGGAGGGCGCUGGGAUUGCACUGACUGG